rnacentral:rRNA from 1 species
UACGAAGGAGGCUAGCGUUGCUCGGAAUCACUGGGCGUAAAGCGCACGUAGGCGGAUCUUUAAGUCAGGGGUGAAAUCCUGGAGCUCAACUCCAGAACUGCCUUUGAUACUGGGGAUCUCGAGUCCGGGAGAGGUGAGUGGAACUCCGAGUGUAGAGGUGAAAUUCGUAGAUAUUCGGAAGAACACCAGUGGCGAAGGCGGCUCACUGGCCCGGUACUGACGCUGAGGUGCGAAAGCGUGGGGAGCAAACAGG